GUCGGGAAUGGAGCACUUCCUUUCAGAACUGCAGUGACCGCGCAGUUUUCACAGCAUGGCUUAGGCUGGAAAGGACCUCAGAGGUGAUCUAGUUCCAACCCCCUGCCACGGGCUGGUGCUGUCAGCAAACUUGUUCACCGUAACCUACCAGCUGCCUGAACAGCACACGCUUAGCAGAGCCUGCUGAAUUCUCAACUCACUCACCCGAACUUCUCACUGGCAUCUAUUCUUUCCAACCACGAAAUAAAAACAGUGGCUAAUGCUUAGGGCUCUGGGUUAACGGUUUUCUGAAUUCCUGCAUUGUAGAAGAGGCUCUGCAGCGUGAACAGCUUCUCACUUUCUGGACCCCCAAGCCCACCGGAUGAGUGGACAGAACAGAAAGAGCAUUCUCCUGUUGUUGAUGGAACCGGCUGCCUCUCUUUGUGCUCAGAAUGCUGACACCAUUUAGCCAUAUUUAAUUCAGCUGUGGUUAAUUCAGUGGAUUUUUUUUUCAAGCAACAUCCGCCCAGGAACAAGUUCUGUGGGCCUUCAAUGAAGUAGAACUUCCACUGAUUUCAGAGGGGCUUGCUCAGUGAAAGAAGAGUAUUUGGCCCCAGGGGCUUUAACAAGAGACCUUCCUUAUCCUUUGUGCACUGGAGAUCCCUGCCAGAUUUCUCCUGGAAAUAGAACAAGGAUAGAACAUGCAGGAUGCUAAAGAGACUAGCUUCAGUUUAUGGAUUAGCAGACUCGCUUGUCUGUUCCCAUCCACCUUACAUACAUAGCCACAUACAGUGUGAAUGUAAAAUGUGGGGGAAAAUUGGCAGUCAUUUUCCACAAUUUUUUUUUUUUGCUGUUGAUUUCUAAAUGAGCUGCAAAACAAUGAAAAAUCCCAGUGUCAAAAAAGAGCAACUUGAAAAAACCUAGGACAGAUUUUAAGUAAAUCUGCUGGAUUUUCCCGUUCCUCAUUAGUUAAAUUAGACAUUGCAAAGCCUGGUGCUGUUACCUGUAAUGUUGAUCCACCUCUGGACUUCAGAAGAACUUGAUCUAGCCAUUAGUAAAACAUGUCCUGCUUUGAAUAGAGGAACAACGCUCUGUACUGCUGGUAAGAGGGGCUUAAGGUGUGUGAGGACGAGAUGGUGAUGACGUUCAGUUAGAGGAAUGAAGCAGCCCUUGUAGGAACAGCCUGGCAGCGAAGGAGAAGGGAGAUCUGGACUUGGGCAAGUAGAGGGUGCAGACCAUCUCCCUGUGCUUGGCUGCAGAAAAGCAAGUGUAGCAGACUGCUGAGUGGGCCAAAUACUAGAUGUUUGUUUUCAUUCUGGAUUUUUUUUUCUGCUAUUAGGAGUAGAAGUGGACCGCUUUAACUCAAGGGAUGAUAGCUGAUUUGUGUUAGACAAGGAUCAAAUAGAUAGAUUGGGAAGAAUUUUACUAACUUUUAAUGUAGUUGCUCUGAAAGCACUGGUGAAUCUGGCACAGAACGUAAGUAGUCCAGCCGAGGCUUUGGUCUCAGCCUUUCCGAGCUAAAAUGUCAGACUUUCAGUUCUGGCCUCUGUGUAUCUAGGCUACACCCAAACAGCUCGAUGCCCCUGCAGUUAAUCCUGAGGAAAAGCUAUACAUGCAAAGAAAACAGAGCCUUUAAAACCUAAGUCCCCUCAGAGGUCUGCAGGGUUUUUAUUGAAUCCUACUACUAGUGACUUUAUUUCAGGAGCGUCCAACCAACGCUGCUCUGCAGGCUGCAUGCUGAAAGCUCUGUGUGGCUGAAAGCUACAAGGCACACAUCACACAGCCCAGAUUCCCGAGAAAAGGAGAUGUCCGGAGCGGCUCCCAGGUGGCUCACAAUGAUGGUUCUCUCCGGCAAGCUGUCUGCUGUGGCAGAAGAUCCUCAUUAGCCGAUGUCUGCCCAGCCUUUCUGCCAGUCCAGGGACACAGUGCUGGCCUAGAUACCUCUCUUGAACUGUCAGAAAGCCACGCAUGACAAAAGAGGCCAGCCCCUGCUCCCUCCCCUCCUUGCUAUUAAAAUAUCACAAGAAGUUUGAGAGAGAUCUUUUCUCGUAAUUUUCUUUUUUAUCCGCUCUGAUUCUUUGGGAUACGGUCUCCAAAUGUUGCUUGCAGAACAUAGGUUUAUGAUAAAGAAUUUCUUGAAAGCUAGUAGGAGUCACAUCCGUACACGAUCAAAUGUAAAUACGUGAGUGUAGUAGUCUUUGCUUAAGAAAGCUUUCAUAAUUCAGAAGAUAACUCAUAAAAAACCAGCGCUUUCUGAAUUACAAGGAGAGAAAGAGGGCAAAGGAAUUGGAUGGCAAAAGGACCACAGGGCCAGGUGUCUUCCUGUGUGCUGUUGCCAGGACUGGCCUGUGACUGGAUUCGAAGAGAUAUUUGAAUGGAAAGCAAAAAAAUUGCAUUCGACUACUGAAGGAUGUCGUUAAAGUGAAAUUUUUAACAAUCUUUUUAAUUAAGCUAAUGCUUUCUUCUAGUGUCAGGAACCUUGUCAAAAUCUAGCUGUCUGUGCUCUGUGCUGGCUCCAGUAUGGCACAGCUGUAACCUUGGACAAGGCUGCUGCGAGAAGAGCUAAGCAAAAGUGUUGGGGGCUUCCUCCACUUUGCUCAAGAGCUGCUUUUAAACUCGGAUGCUUGCCCUGGCCCCUUGGGAUCUGCAGGUCUCUCCCCUGCCUGCUUUGCUCUCCCUCAGCUCCUGGCUCAUCUCCUGGGAGGAGAAGCCCACUGCUGCUACUCCUUGGCACUUCAAACUUUUGGUGCCAGGAAUCCUUACCUGUGGUAACAGGUCUCUUUUGCUACAGCCUGCUGCAGUAGAAGAACUAUGUACUAAUAAGUUCCUAUGAAAAUGCCUUGCUGAAUCAGAAGAGCAGCUCAUCUGUACCCCACAUCUGCAGCAGGGAGAGCAGGAGGCCCUUCCGUCGAAGACUGAAAAGCACAAGCCUGCCUCCAUUCAAGUCUACAGGACACAGACUCCUAGAAGGUGUCCCCAAGCAGACAGUUUAAGAGGGUAAGAGUCUACCCUUCUAAACUGAAGGAUGCUGUGAUCGUGUCUAGAAAUAAAGACGUAGCCAGAGGAGAAAAGAAAGCGUGUAAAAAUGUAGAAAGUAAGAUAAGGACGUCAGGGUUCAUGAAGGGGAUACAGGAGAAAAAACACUGUCAUAUUUUCUGCCCUUCUAUCUUUAUUUCUGCUCUCUUAUCACUCCUAGUUUUGCACAUUCUUUUUUUCUUGCCCCUUCUAUAUCUUUCUCCUCUCUGGCUCUUUCCCUGGCAGGAUAUGAUACAAUAUAGCUUAAAAUCUUGGCACUCUUUUGAACUGCCAAGUUUAAAAUUCUGAAGGCUUUGAGUAGUAAUAGCUGAAAUAUUUCAUAUUAGUGAAAGGUUAAAGCUAGGCCAGCAUUUCCUGAGUAGAGUUUGAGAGAAAAAUUAAAAAUGCUCUGAUUUGCUUGCUGCUUAGUCCACGAACUUCAACAAACAUGCAGAGUCAGUCUUUGCUGCUUCCCUCGGAAGAGAGGUGCAGAAAGAAGGCAGUGAGAGGAGCUUGAAGGGGCUGUUUGUAGCGCUCAAUUUAUUGGGCAGGGAGAUUUGGGAGACAUUUCUGUACUUGGGCAUAGAAUGCUGUUUUCUUGAUCUCAGACAAGGUCGUUUUUGUUCUUUGGGGUGGUAUGUUUUGAGUUGUGGUGGUUACCUAGUGAAUGCUGAACAAACGAAGCACUGUUGCAUUCUUUUUCCUUCUUUUUUACUCGUCUGAGUGUACCUUAUAGGUUCUGAAAAGUCAGUGAAAUCAUCUAUAUAUGAAUUCUUUCAUGAGUCAGAAAAAAUAACAAAGAUGAUGUCAUUUUUUUUUUCAGAGCCGACAGUUUAUCUACAGUGUCGUACAGAACAGGACUUUUUCUCCUCUUCUGGGGAAUUUGGGAACUACCUUCUCCUUUUAGGACAGUUCUCCAUCGUUUCAUGUCAGAGAAUAAUCAUACUGCUCUCCUAAUCACCAGAUUGUGUCAGCCCAAUUUAGCAGAAAUUUAGAUGUGGGUUUUUCUGUGUUUUUCCUUCCUUAUUUAUCCAGAUAUGUCUUGAAGUCAGUUCAUUUUCUUAUUAUUCCCAUGUCAAUCAGCAAGUCACAAAUCAAUAUCUGACCACAUAAUUUUUUUUGGUGUAGGCAAUGAGGCGUGCUUAAGGGGUUACAGGAAAAGAAUGACAGAAAAGGGCACUUUUUAAAGUGAAGUUAACGCUCUGGAACUGGACAGAUUGACAUCAAUCAAUAAAGCACAAGGAGCUGCUCAACGGCUGUUGCUUAAGCCUCUUCCAGAAUGACCAUUUCCAAGGGAAGGUCAUUCAAUUUUUGUGCCAUUGGAUGUCUCAAUCCUGCCUUAUGGUACAUGCAAACAUUUUCCUAUGCAACUUCUCCAGUUCUCAAAUUAACUGUUAACAAAAUGGCUAUCGGAUUACUUUGGUAUUUAUUACCUCUGCGCUUCCCAGUCACUAGAAUCUUGGAAAUGAUCCUUUCUAUACUACCAUCCAAGUCAUUACUGUGAAUAAUUAGAAAGCUGGGCUAUACCCUACUGGUAACCUCUUUCCACCUUGAAAUAAUCCCAUUUACUUCCACUGUUUGUUUCUUGCCCUUCAGCCAAUUUUCAGUCUGUGUAGCCUGCCAGUUUUCUUCCUAUUGUGUGAGUCUGCACCUUAGGCGCUAGUCUCCCAUAUGGAAAUGUUUUCAGCACAUAAGAGCUGAACUUCUUGCAUCCAGUCUCCCUCUAAUCAUUCUGUGCUAUGCUAUCACACUUAGAUAACUCAAUAUCCCUUCCCCAUCCCCUCUUGGAAACACUUCCUAAACCAUGUCGGGGGGCUGAAGUUGCCUCUCCAUCUUCACCUUCCUGUUCUUGCUUGUGAACCACAUCCCUGAGCAAAGUCUAAGCCCUUUCUGUAAUUAUCCGUGGGCAGAACACCCUCCAGGUAGCUGGCGAGCUGUGAGGAUGCCGUGGGUAGAGGAUGAGGUGUCUGCUCUCCAUCUCUGUGUAAAUCUCCGCAGGGGCCCUGGUGUUGCACCAUCAGUAUUUUUUGUGGGAUAAAUGGGGGGGAAUUUUGAUUGUACAGGAAAUUUAAUUAGAUUUAAGGCUAAUUAAAUUCAUUUUUUUCAUAUUAACAUGUUCACAAAUAUUAUUGCAUCUCGUUAGAUUUCAUUCUUCUAUCCUUACCGAACAAUAUUCAGUGGUAGUUUCAGAUUACAAUAAGUUCAUUAUGAAGAUAAGGUGGAAUUAGUGUAGGAAGCUCAGCUGGUUGAAGGGGUCUGUGCUUUAAUUACUGCAGAGGGUGUGCAUAUUAAUUACAACACAAGUGAUAUUUACUGUACCUCAGGAACAUAUGACAGGGUAAAGAUACUGACAGCACCAGCUAAUAAACUCAGUAUGAUAAUGAGGAGAAAAGACCAUAAAAAUAGAAGGAAAUAAAAUUAUUCAUAAAGUAUAUUGAUCCCAAAGUAAAGACAUUAAGCUCUGAUGAAGGGCAACAAAAGGGAAGCUCCUCACUUUAUCAAACAAAUAACCAAAGUAGAGAAAUGUUAGCAGAGAGACAGAUUGUCAUUAUACUGGUCACAUGACCAUGCUCUGGAGAGAACAUUUGAGCAGUAAAAUAUAAGAUUUUUUUUUUAAUAAAUCAGCAGAAAGGCAAGUCUUUACCUGCAGGAUACCAGGUCACGAUGGUUCUGAUGAGCUGAGGGCUGGAAACGUUGCAAAACAACAUUUGAAGAAGAGUGACGGGAACAGAUCAUUCUUUGCAUGAGGAGGCAUCCUCAGCUACACAAAGAAACAACAUGGCUAAUUGGUUAGGGCUGCUAUAAUUGCUGGUGGUUUGUUUGUUGGUGGGGUUGUUUUUGUUUUUUUCCCCCAAUACUAAUUUUGAAGCAGUUGUCUAAAAUAAUUUUUGAGCCACUUUACACACAACUUCCCAUUCAACAGGCCCUUAAGCGUAUACCAAAUAUAAAACACAGUGGAAAGAUCUUUGCUAUGUCUCUCAGCUUCCCCAGGAGGGACGGUCCAGCUGCCCUGGCUGGUCAAACUAGGAGAUCUGCCAGAACUCCGUAUUUCCCUGCUGGCUCUUGUGUCUGAGUUCACUAUUGUCAGCAGCACACAGGUACAGGCAUCAGGAGCAGCUUGCUGGGAUGUCACACCAUCAGUGUGGGUAGCACAGACCCAGUCUUGUGUUGCUCAGCUUCCUUGGGCCCGGUGCUGGUUGCACACUUGCCUAGGCCUUGUGUCAGGACGAUUGCGUUCUUCUGUCUCCUCUACAUUAUCAACUAAGACUGUGCAAGUGAGUUAAAAAAUGCAGUGUAAAUAAUCUCUUUCCAGACAUUACCUUCCUGUUUGAAUUCCCACAGCUUAAUGUGUCCGUAUUAAAUAACAUCUGACCUAAGGCCCUAGCCACCAAAACAGAGUAAGAACUUCACUGUUUGCAUUUAAUUAUCGUACAUUCUGUCAGAAUCAUUUUGAAAUGGCUAUUUCAAAAGAUUUUUGCCUAAAUGAAAUCAACAGGAGCAGUUCAGUACGUAGUGCCGGCCAGACUAGUUUGGGGUCUGUGAAUAGGACAGGGACUGUGCAGUGCACGGAAGUUUUAGUGGGCAUAAUUCUUUUUGCUAUAGACAUUGUGCUACAGUGUGGUUUCCUCUAAGGAAUUGUUAUAAGUUAGGUGACAGUGAGGUGAAGCUAGCAAGCAAGUCAGCCUGCUAGCCAUUCAUCUCUAAAGACCUACGUUCAAAUCCCAUUUACUGAAAGCCACAUACGUCUGCUGCUUUGUUGUCAUCAUAGCCUUGGCAGACAUUUGUUACCAAUCACAAAGCUCCUUCAUGUUGGGCAUGUAUGUCAAUCUUUGCUUAAUAAAGACACCUGGAUUAAAACAGCCACUCUUGGUCAGGAUCUCUGUACUCCGGUGAAGCCUGAAGUGGAUACCUGUUUCAUUCAGAUGGAUCUUUUCACUUCUUGGAGCUCAGGUUGUUUUUUUUUUUUUUUCUUCCAUCCUACAAUUAAGAAUUCACAUUUCUUUUCCCUCAUUCUUCUUGACAGGUCAAGGAAAAAAAAUCUAUUGUCCCUGGUGUUACGAUAGUGUCCCUAAUUUAAAUGCUUGUUUCCAUCUCAUGUUGAAGUAAGGUCUACUGGCUACUGCCGAAGAUCCUAAAUGUUCUGCUCUGUCUGUGCUCGUUCUGUACUAUUUCAGCUUCCCAUGCGUCUGUCUCUCCGAGUGGUGCAAUGUAAGGGUGGAAAUGAUAACUUUUUUUAACUCCUUUUUUUUAAGGUCAGACACAGGUUGUGCGCAUCGGGCAAACUUAACUGCACCUUCAAUAUUUGAGUCACUUGAAUCUAUGAAACAGAUUGAAAGAACUGCAAGAACAGUUGGUAUCUUGACAUUUCAGGUACUUUUAUCCAAAUCCAGGAAGCACAAGAAUACGCAAUAUUGAAAAAUUAUAAUAAAAGUAUAUGACCAUUUUCAAAGCUACAGAAAGCUCUGUUAUAUAAUUUGCUUUUGGAUAAAUGUUUGGCUCGGUCUUUUUUUUGUUGUUGUUGUUUAGGGGAAUCUGUGUAUCCCUACUUGUAAUUCAGUGAGCAAAAGAGUAAUGUCUUCCCAGUGGCCGCUGUGAAAUAUGUCGGCGUUCUUGGUUCCGCUCCCAAUUUUUGUAGCAGUAAAAUUCCUGCCUCUGUGGGCUCAUGUGCUUCCCUGCUUGACAGAGGGAUUUGAGGUUUCAUCUACUCUCUCACCCUCAGAGAUGGUCCUUCCAAGAUUAGGACUGAAGCAGAUUUGAGGACACUGGGGAAGCAUAUGUUUUUUCUGUGCAUGCUUCACAUCUCGCGUUUCCUUGAAUUUCAGAAUUUCUGGGCUCUGAUUCAGUGCCUUUCAGUAACUCAUUUAUCAACAGAUUUUUAAAAGAGGAAAAAAACCACAGUAAAGUUAACCUCUCUCCUAGUGGCUUCUGCAGUUGCUACUUGCGAGGAACAACAAGGAACGGCAAACGCCCAGUGAUGUCUUGAUGUUUCUGAUGAUGUAAACAAGAACUGCUGACCUAAAUGCUAAUGCUUAAGGACUGAUUAUUCGAAAAUGUUAAUUAAAGAUAGAAUUUGAGACCUCC